GCGCUUAUGGAAGGAGAGCUCUAUUGCUAGACAUGAGAGCUUUGGGCCAAUGGCUCUACAGGAAAUGGAGUCAUGAGAAAUUCAUGAGAGAAUCUGGGGUUUGGAGAGUUAUGAUGAUGUCCCAGAAGGCGAUGAUGUGACUGUAUUUAAAUAUAGAAUCUUGUACAUGAAUAAAUGUAGAUUGUUGUACAUAAAAAAUAAAACAUCCCCUGAAAAUAAGCCCUACUGCAUCUUUUGGAGCAAAAAUUAAUAUAAUACCCCAUCUUAUUUUGGAGGAAAUAUGGUAAGUAGGUCCAUUAUGUAAUAACAAAAGGGUCAAUUCUCCAAGAGGAUGUCAUAAUUCUUAACGUGUAUGUAACUUAACAACAGAAUGUCAAAACCAUCAAGCAAAAACUGACAGAACUUCAAGAAGAAAUAGAUUAAUCCACUAUUAUACUUGGAGACUUCAAUAUCCUUCCAUCAGAAAUGGACAGAACUCACAGGCAGAAAAUCAGUAAAGACACAGUUGAACUCAACAACACUCAUUCUUACAUAUUAGGCACUGUGCAAAGCAUGAAGAACAGUGGACAGAGCCAGACGUCUUCCCUUCUCCUGUGCCAUCCAUCUAGCGAAGGAGACACUCAUUAAUCCAAGAGUCACCUAGAUACCUGAAGACUGAUCAAGCAAACUCAAAGUUAUCAUCCUCAUGUGAAGGCUGCACGGACCAUAGGCAAUGGACAGUGCUUCUACCCAAGACCACGUUUAAGUGCACUGAAAUGCUGAACGCCUAAGGGUGGGCUAUGAUUUUUUUUUUUUUAAAGUGAGUACAAUCUGAGAAAUGUAGAUUGAGAAGCAAAAGAUCUUAAAAUUUGAUCUUCAGAUUC
ensembl:lncRNA